rnacentral:tRNA from 2 species
GCCGAGGUAGCUCAGGGGUAGAGCAGUGGACUGAAAAUCCUCGUGUCGGUGGUUCAAAUCCGCCCCUCGGCA